rnacentral:lncRNA from 1 species
GGGUAGGGGAUAAAAAUUAGGGUAGGUAGGGGUACAGUAAACACACAUUUUUUUUUUGGCCUCAUGUGGCAGACAUAUAACAAAAUGUACUUUUGACAAAAAGAGCAGACAUAAAUAAAAAGAAAUAUAAAAUUUCAUUUUGUCUACUUUUUAAAUUACUCUUAAAAACUUAAUAACCCUUAUAAUUAAGUAUAUUGAAUUUCUUAAUAAUGAAAAUUCAAUUAGUUCCAUUUAAAUGACAAUGAAAGGACAAGGU